AUACGAAGGGGGCUAGCGUUGUUCGGAAUCACUGGGCGUAAAGCGCGCGUAGGUGGAUCAAUUAGUUGAGGGUGAAAUCCCGGGGCUCAACCUCGGAACUGCCUUCAAUACUGUUGAUCUAGAGACCGAGAGAGGUGAGUGGAAUUCCUAGUGUAGAGGUGAAAUUCGUAGAUAUUAGGAAGAACACCAGUGGCGAAGGCGGCUCACUGGCUCGGUACUGACGCUGAGGUGCGAAAGCGUGGGGAGCAAACAGGAUUAGAAACCCUAGUAGUCC
rnacentral:rRNA from 1 species